CGGGGCGUAGCGCAGUUUGGUAGCGCGCUGCGUUCGGGACGCAGAGGCCGCAGGUUCAAAUCCUGUCGCCCCGACCA
rnacentral:tRNA from 1 species